CAGGUGUCAGGACAUUUCAAAUUUUGCUAAUUUCCGAUCUAAUUUUAAGAGCAAAACAGGAAAAGAUCAUUUGAACAUAAACAUUUUAUAGACGUGCGUUCUGGCUACUGCCUGCAGCGUAUUUGUUAGGUUAUCAGUGAUGCCAGUGUAUUCAAUGUACAAUACAAAACCUUUCAUUUUCUACGAGUAUACUCGUAGUGACAGAAUGCACACAUGCAUACCCAUUGUCGACAGUCAACGUGUUAACCCCUUCAGUGAACCUCAAUAACUUCAGAAUUUACUUUUACAAAAAAUGGCUAGCACUAAAUGAUGCACUCAAUCCUAUGUACAUGUACAUGAUUGCCCUUGUUACAAUAAACCUUUUUAUGCCUUGACUGAAUUCGAUGACGGGUAUACCGCCCUCUAGGAAUGUGGGCCGAGACGAAAGUGGGAGAAACUAUUCGUUUGAUUGAACUUAUGUUGAGUUUCUCUACAUAUUUGCCAAGUUUUAGCAAAUUGAGCAUAGGACAGGCGAAUUUGGCUAGAAAAUACUCAAUGAAUCAAUGAAUCACUGCAAUCAGUGCACUUUAUAGUCUUAUUAUGUAAAACAUAUGUUAAUAAAUGAUUAAAGUUUUGGUCUCAAAAUCUCGAAAUUAAAACGAGUAGGUAGGCCCUAAUCCUUGCUUACUCAGGACUUUAUGAAGUAACCAUAAGGGUUUAUGUAAAAUCAUAUCGAAAUCGGAGGAUUGAAGACUGUUGUCAUGGGUAAUGACUACUGAUUAUACACCGUGACCAUUUGAUUUAGCAUCCAGGCCAAAUGAUUCAAAAUGAGAAAAUUUAAGUUGAUGUUCAAUGAUGCUUUUGGUUUAUUAUUAAUGUGUAAAUUGCAAUAAAGUAUAUAUUAGGCUGUAUAGGAGUGUGGCACUGAAUUGUUAAUAUGUUUAUACAUUUAUACAAAAAUAAUGCCUGUCGGUAUCUGUUAGAGUGUUUCAAGUUUUAAAAAUCAGUUGACAGUGGGCCCUGAAUGAGUAAUAAUUUGAACAAUUUUGUUUAAUAAAAUUGUUAGAUUAUCAAAGUUCGUACAAAAAGCAUUUCCUCUAGACAAUGGACAACUAAUGAAGCGUAAAAAAUCAAGAGAACUUCAAAAGGAAUAAUGUAUGAUUUAGUCUACCGAUCACUCCAAUAUUUCUGGGAAACUUAGAAAAUGUUUGCAAUGUGAAAGUAAAGACAUAAAAAACUAAUAAAUUAAUAAACUUGUUUACUUUUUCGCAGAUGUUCUUAUCUGACCAGUGUUAAGGUUCGCUUAAUUGUUGUACUUUUUCACUAGUACUAAAACUCUUUACUUGCAUUUAAGAAAAAUGAGAGAUAAACGGUCAUAAUGUAUUAACCAAUUCACUGAUUAUUUCAAUGAGGAGGAUGAGAUUUUUCUCCCAAAAGGAAAUAUGACCAUUAGUGGUUUUAUCGUUCCUUGAUGUAGAUGUACAUCAAAAAACAUCGAAGGUCCCUGUAAAAAACCCAGUGGUACCCCAUAAGAUAUAUAUCAGACAGGUUGGCCUUAGUUGUUAAAAAAGUACACACUGCUAUCGAUCAUAAAUUCAAAUACUUUUAACCAACUGGGAGCAACUCCAGUAUGCUGAAGUCAUUUAAUUGAUCAAAAAAUGAAUUAUGAUUAAUGGUGUCAAAGGUUUAGAUAAAUCCAAGAACUUGCAUUAUGGUGUAAACGGCAGGUCCGUGAACCAGACAAUGCGACCGGUUUACUCUGUUGGGGUCACAUGCCGUGCAAACAACGUUCCUGUUGAUCACACGGUUUAAUAGUGUUGCUCACUUUGGGAAAACCCGACACUGUCAGGCGCCAUAGAAUAGUACGACUUGUUUGUUUACUUAACAAUCCAGACCCCCCUCCCAAUAUUCUUGUUCGAUUUCAAUUCAUUUUAGUAUUAUUUUUAAACUUAACAUGGCAGUCUUUGUUUUUAAAUGACCUCAUUACUAUUUUUAUUAGUUUUAUUUCGUCGUGAGGUCGUGACUUGGAUGAGGUCUGCUUUGACCAAAUUGUUGGCUGUGAACGCAGCAUUCGCAAUCGUAGCCGUAGGCCUACUGUCAAAGCAAAUACAAUAGUUGCUUUUAGAAAGCACAAAAAGUAACAGCAAAAACAUAACCUUUCACCAAGAGUGAAGAUUGGAAUGGUAGGUUUUUCAUGCGGUGAUUCUUGCCGAAUAAUUCACUUUGAAAGUAUAUAGGUCGCUAACAAGUACGGUUGCGUCGUGUAUGGUGGAAGAGGCGUCAUGGUGCGUCGGCUAUUCAUACACCAUAAUUUCGGGAUUUUAUUAUCGGAUGGUCGACUGUGGUUAAGAGAGAAGCCCAAUGCAUAUAUACGUCAAAGGUAACUUGUUUGGGGAUAUUUACGCUCUAAAUGUAGUUUGUCAUUGUUGAAUAAGGCAUAUUGUGAGCUCAAGGCCUUGACCAAAAAAAAAAAGACUAUUAACGCAUGAGAAAGGAACUUUACAAAUCAGUCAAAACACAAACUGCGAUCAGGAACAUUACAGUAUAGGUUCGUCGCGCCGUCAGCAGCAAGCACGUACGCUCCCACUGCAGUCGGGCCUCUGCACCACCUCUUUCCAGUGGUGCCGAUUGGAGAAGUGCCUCACAAAUUGGGCAGUCGUCUGGAACUGGCAUCAGCGUCGGGGUUAAUCUAUAUGUCCUAUCUAAAGACACUGGAUUAAGACGUCGGAAAUCAUCUCAGUGAAAUUAUGGUCGAGUUGAAUUUCGGAGACGGAGACUCGACAGUGGAAGCUAGUUUUUCGGCGGGGCCAUUCAGCAGCUUUUUGAAAGCCACAGGGCUUUCGGAGAAGCAGGCAACAGCACUUGCUGCCUUUACAAUAAUAAUUAUUGCAAUUAUUGUCAGAGGUCUUUUACGCAGAGCACCGAUGGAACGGCCUGGAGGAAAGAACAAGAAAGGAAAGUAGUUGAAGCACAUCCUGUUAUAGACACAUCACUUCGUUGAUUUGAAGAGGACGAUGGUGUCGUGGUCCCAUAAUACAGGAGAUGUCUACCCAUUUUAGUUAUAUUUUAUUUUAAUUUUUAAGUUGUUGCUGCUCCACAUUUAGAAAUGUGACACAAUUUACACAAUAUCCCUGAGGUACUUCACCGACAGAGGCCAUGACAAUCAUGAUGUUAUUACUCUGGUAAAUGAUUUUAAUCAGCUGAUCAAAUGCUAUUUCCUGUAUUAUGUAUUGCAAUGAUACUGCUUCUGUUAACAAAAAUAACGUGUUUCCGCGGAAACAGAUGGCUUCUCCUCAGUACUGAUACCAGGAGCGAAGUUUCGGUGGCGCACGUUUAGGCCUAUAGCGUAAAAACGAUGAUUUUCAUUGGUCGCAAGGUCAUUACGCCCUGCGUACUAUGAUAUCUUACACAGCCGCGCGAAGUUGACGUUCAACAAUUUCAACGAUACGGACAACUGCAGCACUGCAGGUAGCCUAGGUGAAAAGCGGAUUUGAAAACUCGAUUUCCUCUAAUGCUUGACAAGAAAAACAUAAAUGACCUGUGGAUGGUGAACGAACAAUUUGAGAUAAGAUUUGUAUUCUGUUAGUUUGGGUCGUAUGCAGUUUAACUGAAUAUGAAGGAUGGCAUUUGUUCGAAAUGAGACGUAUCUAGAAUAAUGAUGAAAUCCAUUCGCAGAAUCAAAGGCAGGUGGAGGGGGGAAUGGGGGUCCGUUUCUCUCCCUAAGGAAAGGAAUUAAUUAAGAUGGUCGGUGUGGGGUCUAUUUUAUUUAAACUCCUUCCAAAAGCGUGUAAAAACCCCAGGGUACAGGGUUUAGCCCCACCCCUUAGAAACGGCAUUAAAGGUUACAUUUGCCCCUCCUCAAAAGUUUUGCCUACCCAAAAUUUAGUUCUGGAUCCACCAGAGCACGGCUAGGCAGCUUCAGAAUCAUCGCAAGAUCUUCAGUUAUCAUUAUCUAAUUGGUUAACUUGUUUUGUAAGUUAUUAAACUACUGUAUUUCUUUGAUGGUAAAGUUUCCCAAUAUAAUCAUCUUAUUGAUUUUGGAUCUGAUUCAUCAUCGGUGUAAUCUUGUUCACUUUCUUGGCAUACGAAAACAUUCAACCUUUCUAUUCAGCUGAUUUAAAUUUGGUAACAGUUUAAAGAUUUUUUAUCUUAAUAACGAGAAUGUAAGUAAGAUUUAGACCUUGCAUGGUGGAGGCUAGACUAAGAGAAGGGUUGUGGAUACACCAUGUGAAAACGUCCUCUUCUAUGGUUCUUCACAGGAUCAGGACCACUAAUCUUGUAGAGGAGAUCAAUUUCCCACGUUGUACCCGCCAAACCUAGAGAAUUUAACACUAUAGUGUAUACACAGACGCGGUUCUAGAGUCAUUUUUUAUGGGUGCAGAUUUAUCCUUCACACGUAAAGUUACCUUUUAACUUUCGCUACUGCUCGGACUCUUCAAGGUGUUAAUGAUCGUGGAUAUUUAUUUAAACACUUUAAACAAUUAAAUGCAGAACUCCAGAAUCAGUUUUGUCCUGACCAUUUAUUUUUCAGUUUUGUACUUUUGAGGGGCUAGAAAAAAGUUUGCCCCUAGUAGAACUGCGCCUGGUACUACAUUUUUUUUUCCAAUAACUGUCACAAACUUGAUCUAAGUCAUCACCUCCUACACCGUUUUGCUUCAUUUUGGUAAUAAGAACACAAAAUACCCGUCAGGUGGUAUUCACGUAAAUGAAGCAAAAAGUCACCAACAAAUUGUUCUCAUUAGCCUAUACAACCCCCUUGGGUCAUUUUUAUGAAGAGCUUUUAGCACCUUCUCUGUUUCAUGCUUUACUUUUUGUAACGAGGGAUUAUGGUCUGUCUGCAUCCAAUUAUGUGUCGAGUUUAUUUACUUCAAUUUAUUUUUCAAUAUUCUGCGUUGAAAUUGUCUAUUCACACUAACAUGUCUUACCAGGUACGUAAUUCGUCUUCUCGUACUUUGUCAAAAUCAUUCGAUCAUUGACCAUUUGUAGAAUGAAACAAUAAACUUCGUAAUUUGGAAAUAAAUGUUAAAAUGUAA